rnacentral:lncRNA from 1 species
UGGGGAGCAGGCCCAACAGGGCCACUCGUGUGUGGUCCUGCAGGCUCUGCCUCUGGUGUGGAAGAGCUCACGGUGAAGCAUUCCUGCCCAGGACCUGAGGAGCCGGCCACGGUUCAGAAGGCCCCAGCUUGAAGGACCGGAGAGCCGCCCAGCAGCAUGACACAGGCAAGCUUUCGGAGGUGACAUUUGCCCCAGGGAAGGUCACAGCUGCCUGAAGCUUUAAAACUCCCGGACACACACUGCCUGUGCAGGAUCUGGAACCCAG